CACGCACACAACCCUACCCACCCUCUGCUUCCCCUCUCGAAGUCUAGUAACCAGAGAACGAAGCUCCGGUUGGUGCCCCACUCUCUCCGACUGCUUAUCUCCGGCUCGACACACCCGCACCUCCACCCUCCUUCUCCGGUAACACACACUUACCGCUUAAACCUCAACCCUUGCGACUCUUCUCCUCUGAUGACAACACACACCGACACCCCCCCCACUGAGCAGAUCGGACAGAUCGAAGAGAGAGAGAAACAGCGAGAGAGAAAGAGACGGAGCAGAGGAGAGGGCUCCGCCGUCUGCGGCAGCGGUGGUGCCCCUGGUGCCGUUCUUGUUCAGGUUCACAAAUGGUUGCUGUUAGGUUGGAAACAGAACGAGAGUGAAAGUAGCGACUGAUGUACGACAGUGGAACAAGUUUUCCGGCGACAAAUCCGCCGUCAGCGGCGGAGCCGUGGCGGCAGUGAUGGUGUUUUUGGUCCAACGGGUUUCAUGGUAAACCCCCUCCCCUGUUUCCUUUUCAUGUUUUUUUAUUUGUUUUGUUUUUUUUGAGGAUUAUGCUGAUGUUGGUGGUGUUACUUGUUCUCCGACGAGAGCUCCGGUCAAAGCCGAUGAUGAUGAAGAUAUGAAGACGAAGACUCAGCAGCCGGUUCUGAGAUUUGUUUAGAUAGGUCAGGUUGAUGUUCGGUUCGGCGUCGCUCGACACGGGCAGCUCGGGUCUCGUGUCGGGUCAGAUUUGAAUCGUGGUCAAGCUUGGUCAACGGUUCGGUCUGAUUCGGUCAAAGUCAACGAGCCAAAUCAGCUGCGUUUCGGGUCAAACUCGGUUGACUCGGUCAACACCCGAGUCAACUCGGGUCAACACAAGUCAACAGAAGUCAAGGAUGGUCAAAUCAGACCCGGAAUACUAUAGAUGCACGCUAGCUAAUUCACGUUCCUGGAAUGACAUCACGGAAUCACUAAGCUAGCUUUGAACAGGAAUGUCAAGGUUACAUUUUCAAAACUAUGGAAUGGUUGGAAUAGGAGA